GACAGAGGGUGCAAACGUUGUUCGGAAUUACUGGGCGUAAAGCGCGUGUAGGCGGCUAAGUAAGUCGGGCGUGAAAUCCCACGGCUCAACCGUGGAAGUGCACUCGAAACUGCGUAGCUAGAGUCCUGGAGAGGAAGGUGGAAUGCUUGGUGUAGAGGUGAAAUUCGUAGAUAUCAAGCGGAACACCGGUGGCGAAGGCGGCCUUCUGGACAGUGACUGACGCUGAGACGCGAAAGCCAGGGGAGCAAACGGG
rnacentral:rRNA from 1 species